AAGUGUUUUUAUAUUAUUUUAUCCGGCUUAAACAUUUUCAAGUGUGAUAUAAAACGAUUUCAUAAAAGGACAUAUACUAGUAGUAUUCAAAAUGGUUGUCGGAGAAGCAAAUAUAAAUAAUAUUAUGAGCGGUAUCGAGAGUACGGGAGGUGUUCGUCUUCAUAAUCAUCGAAAAAAAUUAAAACAAAGGUUCGAUAUAAUUAAAAAAUUGGGACAAGGAACGUAUGGUAAAGUACAAUUAGGUAUCAAUAAAGAAACUGGUCAAGAAGUAGCUAUAAAAACAAUAAAAAAAUGUAAAAUCGAAACAGAAGCAGAUUUAAUUCGAAUUCGUCGAGAAAUUCAAAUUAUGUCAUCGGUACAACAUCCAAAUAUUAUUCACAUAUACGAAGUAUUCGAAAAUCGAGAAAAAAUGGUUUUGGUAAUGGAAUAUGCAGCCGGAGGAGAAUUAUAUGACUAUUUAUCUGAAAGAAAAGUAUUAUUAGAAGAAGAAGCCAGACGAAUAUUUCGACAAAUUGCUACCGCAGUUUAUUAUUGCCAUAAACACAAAAUUUGCCAUCGAGAUUUGAAACUAGAAAAUAUUUUACUUGACGAAAAUGGCAAUGCAAAAAUUGCUGAUUUUGGACUAUCGAAUGUUUUCGAUGAAACACGAUUACUUUCCACAUUUUGUGGAUCACCAUUGUAUGCUUCACCGGAAAUUGUAAAAGGAACACCAUAUCAUGGUCCGGAAGUUGAUUGUUGGUCGUUGGGAGUAUUGCUUUAUACUUUAGUGUACGGUGCCAUGCCAUUUGAUGGUAGUAAUUUCAAAAGACUUGUUAAACAAAUAUCUCAAGGCGAUUAUUUUGAACCGAAAACACCAAGUCCGGCAUCUCCAUUAAUCCGAGAAAUGUUAACUGUUUCUGCAAGUAGGCGUGCAGACAUGGAAAAAAUAUGUUCGCAUUGGUGGGUGAAUGAAGGUCACGAUGAAUCUUGUUUAGAUAUAGCCGAAGAUCUUGCAAAUCAAACACCAGUGCGCUUAGAUUUACUUUUAUCAAUAGCACCACCACCUCCACAAAUUGGAAGUGAUAAGUUAGUUAUAGCUAGUGCUGAAAAUGUGGCGGAAAACGAAACGUUACCUGACGCAAAUGUACCUGCACGCUCACAAUCAGUUGGAAGUAUUAUGGAACGUGCUCCAACACAAAAAAUACGUGAUAUCGUUGAAGAUGACACAAAUACUAGUUCACCAAAACGAAAAUUAGAAGUAACUGUUAGUACAGAAAAUGCAAAUCAAGCGAGUAGUGGAGCGAAGAGAAAAGAACGAUCAAGAAAAAAAGACCGUGAUAGUUCAGUUGAUAGACGAUCUCAUAGAUCUUCCAGCAGAAGCAAAGCUGAUAAAAUUGAUACUACUGCAAAAUUAGUCGAAGAAGAACAAAAUUCACCGUCAUCUGAUACACCUACGGCAAAUGAACUACAGAAAAACUUGACAAUAACAAUGGAAGUAGAAUCACAGAAUGGUGAUUUGCCAAUUAUUGACAAUAAAGAAGAAAGUAAUUUAUCAGUUUCGCCACCUCAAGAAGAAGGCGCAAUGUGUACAGAAUUAAUAGAAGAAGCAAAUAAGAAAAGUAUAGCAAGCAGAGAAAAACGAAAAUCAGUUAAAUCAAAGAAACCAAAACCAGAAAUUAUAGAAAAUAAAAUAAUCGAAGAAUCUGAUGUAGAAAAUUUACCAAAUGAAAAUAACGUAGACAAAGAAAAUAUUACAAAUGAAAAACAAAUCAAAAGUACAGAAGAUGUUCCAAAAGUGUCGAAGAAAAAAGUUUUGGGUGAUAAUAACGAAGCUAUACCGGAUGAAGCUAAAGAAACGGAAGUUGUUCCACAAAGUCCUACGGACAAAAAUGAAGUUAAAUUGGAAAAUGGUGAAGAGUCUGCUGAGAAAAAUGAAGAAAUCGCUCAACCACCUACGAAACCAAUUGAACGAAGACGAUCAAAAAUAUUUGAAACCGCUGAAAAAUUCCAAAAUAUGGCGUCUUCUAAUGAUCAAAAAACAAAUCUACCUGAAAAACCAAAGAAAAUAUUUAUUCCAGGAGUUAAUGUUGGUGGUUUUAAACAAGCAUUUGAACGUAGAGCUAGUUUAACUAACUCAUCUCCUGUGAAAACAUCCUUGUCUAAGAAAACUGUGCUUGAUGAAAAUAAAAAACCAGCUGAAGUAGAAAAUGCAGAUAAAGUUGAAACAAAGCCAGUAAAUGAAGUCUCUCCAGUAUCAAAUGAAGUUUCUCCAACGACAGACAAUUCGGACAAAUCUGUUGAAGACGAAAAACGUGAAAUGGUGAAACAUGCAGUGAGUGUUAUUUCGAAUGCUAUUGAUAGAGAAGGUGCUAGAAAAUCAAAAUCUCGACCAACAAUGAUACGAAAACCACCUGUACCGUUUGGUGUUAGUGGACGAUCAGCUUCUGGAGGUAUUGCGAACUUGGUAUCACCUUUAUCACCUCCUGGUCAUGAUAACAAGCGUCAAUUUAAAUUACAAGUAGGUCCUGAAAUGCGUACUGCUACAGUUCAGGUAACAACACCUGAGGACACAAAAUAUAUUCAAGAAACAAUACAAAAGAAAGGAGAAGCCGAUAAGAGCAAUCUUGACGAAGACAGUGAUACCAAAACAUCUUCAAUCGAAGUCAAUUUAAAAUCUGCCACGUUGCCUAGACGGAAAACUUCUAAAGCAGAAAUAACAUUAAGUUAUCCGCAACCAAAACCAGCAACAAUGGAAUUCAAGACAGAAAUGCAACAUCGUAUUGAUAAUAGUCAUCCAAGGUUGAAAACUCAACGCUCCGAAGUAGCAUUUCCUGUAUCUGCUGCUCCACAUCUUGGUUUCCGCUCAACUUCAUUGGAACCAGAAAAAACAAAAGAAAGAAUUAUUCCUAUUGCUUUGGAAGAAGAAAGUCCAUCAGGAAUGCGAUCUCCUCCAACCAAACCUCCCGCGCCUAGAGUACAACGUACAUUUAGCCAAGGACAACGUGCCAGUAGUGUUUCAAGACAAUCAACUCAAGAUUCUGAUACAGAUAGUACAUCGACACAACAAGAACCAAUUCGAAAAUCACCUAGAGAAUUUAUUAUUCCAAUUGCCAUUGAAGGUGGUGGUUAUGUGACACCACGAGCAGGUAGUUUAGAGCCUUCAGAAUCGGGCACACCAACUAGCAAAUUUAGCAGUACAUCUCGUUUUGGACGACCAAGGAGAAUGAAUUCUUUAUUAAGCGAUCGUGAUGGUUCCGAGGAUGAAUCUCCAUUCUCAACUUUACAUCGUCAUGGUUCCGUUGGAAGAGAUAGUGAUAAUGAAGAUUCACGCAAAGAUAGAAUUCACCUACAUAGGCUAAGAAGUACGAGACCAAACAAAAGAUUAGAACAUGCUGAUUCACUAAGUUCGGGCGAAGAAGAUGAUGAUGAUGGAUUUGAAUUAUUAACAGCUGAAAAUUUGUUUUCCACACUUCUUUCAAGAGUUAGAAGUUUAACUCAACGAUUAAAUGUUGAAGAUGGUGGACGUCCUGGUUUUCCUAGCAGUCGUCUCCUAAGUCAUUUUGGACGUGAUAAUUUCUGGGAUAAUUUACAUAGCCGUGAACCAUUUAGGAACUCAUUUGGUCGUUCAUUUAGUCGUGAACGCGAGCCUCAAUCAACUGAAGCAAAUAAUGGUUUAAAACAAGCACCAUGGAGACGUACGAGCACUAGUCGAUUUAGCACCGAUUCAAAUUCAGGUGAAGCAACAGCUCCAGCUACCACAACAUCUCAAACGCUACCUAGAGCUCGCGUGCGCGUCACGGUGCAUGUGCCAACGCUUGGAGGCGGCGCAGCCCCACCAUCUUAAUCGCCUGUUGUACUACUUAGACAAAAUGAGCUGCACCACAAUGCAAAACAAUCUCCCAAUAUCGAUUCACAUGAUCAAAAUACACAGGACUUAAACCUAUCCGAUUUAGACUUAUCAAAAUUGAAACUUAGCGAAAAUGACGCUGUAGCUUUAUCCUAUUUAACACCUGGUCUAUCUCGCCGUAUUA